UACGAAGGGGCGUAGCGUUGCUCGGAAUCACUAGGGCGUAAGCGCACGUAGGCGGAUUGUUAAGUCAGGGGUGAAAUCCUGGAGCUCAACUCCAGAACUGCCUUGAUACUGGCGAUCUUGAGUCCGGGAGAGGUGAGUGGAACUGCGAGUGUAGAGGUGAAAUUCGUAGAUAUUUGCAAGAACACCAGUGGCGAAGGCGGACUCACUGGCCCGGUACUGACGCUGAGGUGCGAAAGCG
rnacentral:rRNA from 1 species